AACGAACGCUGGCGGCAGGCUUAACACAUGCAAGUCGGACGCAUGUCUUCGGACAUGAGUGGCAGACGGGUGAGUAACGCGUGGGAAUCUACCCUUUGGUACGGGAUAGCUCCGGGAAACUGGGAUUAAUACCGUAUGUGCCCUUGGACUUAAGGUUUGGGGGAAGAUUGAUCGGCCAAGGGAUGAGCCCGCGUCGGAUUAGCUAGUUGGUGGGGUAAAGCCCACCAAGGCGACGAUCCGUAGCNGGUCUGAGAGGAUGACCAGCCACAUUGGGACUGAGACACGGGCCCAAACUCCUACGGGAGGCAGCAGUGGGGAA
rnacentral:rRNA from 1 species